UAGAGUUUGAUCCUGGCUCAGAUUGAACGCUGGCGGCAGGCCUAACACAUGCAAGUCGAGCGGCAGCACAGGGAGCUUGCUCCCUGGUGGCGAGCGGCGGACGGGUGAGUAAUGCAUAGGAAUCUGCCCGGUAGUGGGGGAUAACGUGGGGAAACCCACGCUAAUACCGCAUACGUCCUACGGGAGAAAGCAGGGGAUCUUCGGACCUUGCGCUAUCGGAUGAGCCUAUGUCGGAUUAGCUAGUUGGUAAGGUAACGGCUUACCAAGGCGACGAUCCGUAGCUGGUCUGAGAGGAUGAUCAGCCACACUGGGACUGAGACACGGCCCAGACUCCUACGGGAGGCAGCAGUGGGGAAUAUUGGACAAUGGGCGAAAGCCUGAUCCAGCCAUGCCGCGUGUGUGAAGAAGGCUUUCGGGUUGUAAAGCACUUUCAGCGAGGAAGAAAGCCUCUGGGUUAAUACUCCAGAGGAAGGACAUCACUCGCAGAAGAAGCACCGGCUAACUCCGUGCCAGCAGCCGCGGUAAUACGGAGGGUGCGAGCGUUAAUCGGAAUUACUGGGCGUAAAGCGCGCGUAGGUGGCUUGGCACGCCGGUUGUGAAAGCCCCGGGCUCAACCUGGGAACGGCAUCCGGAACGGCCAGGCUAGAGUGCAGGAGAGGAAGGUAGAAUUCCCGGUGUAGCGGUGAAAUGCGUAGAGAUCGGGAGGAAUACCAGUGGCGAAGGCGGCCUUCUGGCCUGACACUGACACUGAGGUGCGAAAGCGUGGGUAGCAAACAGGAUUAGAUACCCUGGUAGUCCACGCCGUAAACGAUGUCGACUAGCCGUUGGGACCUUUAAGGACUUAGUGGCGCAGUUAACGCGAUAAGUCGACCGCCUGGGGAGUACGGCCGCAAGGUUAAAACUCAAAUGAAUUGACGGGGGCCCGCACAAGCGGUGGAGCAUGUGGUUUAAUUCGAUGCAACGCGAAGAACCUUACCUACCCUUGACAUCCAGAGAAGUUGGCAGAGAUGCCUUCGUGCCUUCGGGAACUCUGAGACAGGUGCUGCAUGGCUGUCGUCAGCUCGUGUUGUGAAAUGUUGGGUUAAGUCCCGUAACGAGCGCAACCCUUGUCCUUAUUUGCCAGCGAGUAAUGUCGGGAACUCUAAGGAGACUGCCGGUGACAAACCGGAGGAAGGUGGGGACGACGUCAAGUCAUCAUGGCCCUUACGGGUAGGGCUACACACGUGCUACAAUGGCCGGUACAAAGGGUUGCGAGACCGCGAGGUGGAGCGAAUCCCAGAAAGCCGGCCUCAGUCCGGAUCGGAGUCUGCAACUCGACUCCGUGAAGUCGGAAUCGCUAGUAAUCGUGAAUCAGAAUGUCACGGUGAAUACGUUCCCGGGCCUUGUACACACCGCCCGUCACACCAUGGGAGUGGACUGCACCAGAAGUGGUUAGCUUAACCUUCGGGAGAGCGAUCACCACGGUGUGUC
rnacentral:rRNA from 1 species